GAAAAGGCCUACAGCAGCUCGUGUCUUGCCGAGACCGCGAGCAAGAUCUCUAUCUCUUAAGGGGUCUCGAUAUAUUUGGGGAUAAGGAAAAUGAAUAUCUGCUAUAUAUCUGGUCAGAUACAGUCCAUCGACAUAUUUUACGAUCUACCAACCUAUACCAAUCUUCUUGAGACUCGAAUAUCGUCUACACGGAUAUAUGGAAAUCAGAAUUCGGAUUAGCAAAUAAGGUGAAAAGAAAUGGGUGGAAGGAACCAGUUUUUAAACGUCUUUGGCCGGGUUCCUCUUCUUCGUUUCUUCUUCCAUUCUCUUUCGUACUUGUCUUGUCUUCUAUUCCCCUCCUCGUCUUUUCUCAGUCUGUCUUUGCAAUCGGUAAAGAGAAUUUACUGCAGUUUGGACUUUGUUCCCAGGUUUGACACUAGGUCUCCUAUUAACUUAUCAGUAUCUUUCAAUUUGUUUUAAAUCUUUUGAAUAACCCGCGAAGUGAUAGAAAUUUGUUGAAUUUGAAUGAUACAAUAAAUUCUUGAAACAUAAUUAUUGAUCACGAAUGAUAUUAUAUCAACUGCAGGAAAAUCUUGUCUACAUCUUAUAAUCGUGUAAAAUUUAAAAAUUAUCAAAAAUUAAAUUUAUGAAAUUUUAAGACAUUUUUAUUCUUUUUACUCAUUACAAUUUUUAACACAUAAAAUUUUUAAUAUACAGUCUGAAAGAACAACGAAUUUUAAGAUAUUUCAUCGUUUUCUUAGUGGAACCCUUCUUAGUACAGUAUCCUUCCAUCGAAUGUUCGACCACAUUUCCAUGGUCGUUUUGCAAUCCGUUACAAAGGCCGGCUUGUUAGAUGCCGUGGUAUAUACGACAUGCACGAUUUUACACUCUGGCGCUUGUGGUCGGUCAGGCCGCAAACAUUUUUCGCGCCUCACAGAGAGAAGCAACUCUUCGCGACACGAUUGAUCAUCUUCUGAAGAACACACCAAAUCAUGUAGAAAAACUUUCUACAAACAGGUGCAGCAACAGAGAUAUAUGAUCUAUGUAUAACCGAAAUCAACGCAAAAAUAGAAAAAAAAGUGCAUAAUAAUGGAAUUCUUAUCAAUUGCAAUACUAUUUCCGAGACUUCGAAUGAAAGCUCAGUCGAUGAAUAAUACAUGAUACGCAUUGUCAUGGACCGAAUUGUCUUUGAUGAAAUCACCUUGUCUCUCUAAGAAAGAAAUUACUUAAUUUAACAUUGUAACAUAAUAAUGAAUUUACUAUUUUCAUUUCAUAUAUAUAUCUACAUACUAUAUUCAGUAAUUUUUAAUUCUGAACAUUCAUUUUAAAAACAUCAAAUCAUUUUCCAAGGAAGGAUGGGGGUUGUUCUGGAUCUAUCGAGCAACAGAUUUAGCAGAACGCUUAAUGAAUAGUUGAUAACAGUAUGCAUUGUAGCCUGCAUGUCCGAGGGUUGGGUCAUCUAACAAAUGGCCCAUUGUUAUCUCUUACAACUCUUUGGUUUUCCUCUUACUCCUUCUCUUCUUCGCUUUUUUCCCUUCAUCCUUCUUUCACCGUGCACGAAACGGGUAUACAUAUAGGAUAAUUCAGAAAAGAGAAACAAUCUUCUCGCGCGAAAAAUUAUUAUUAUUGUCUUUAAUCGAUUGAAAAAUACACAGUUUGUAUAAUAACUA